GCAGCCAUGUGGAUGAUGAAUCCGUGCCUCAGUAACAGCCCAAGCCAAGCGUGGAUGGCAGCACUCGUGGGAAGGUGGCAAGGAGAUCUCAACUUCCAGGACUAUUCCUCGGUAUAAAAGUGUGGUGCCUUUUUGAGCCCUGUGAGUCCUAAGGCUGGAAUGUUCCAAGUCCUGUGCUACAGAGCCUCACUGAACUGGGGGUGAUCUGAUAUGACAGGGAUGAACAAU